GUCCCGUGGCGCAGUGGUUAAGCGCCCAGAUGACCGCUUGCGGUCGCAGGUUCAAAUCCUGCACGGGACA